AUUGAACGCUGGCGGCAUGCCUUACACAUGCAAGUCGAACGGCAGCGCGGGGCAACCUGGCGGCGAGUGGCGAACGGGUGAGUAAUAUAUCGGAACGUACCCUGGAGUGGGGGAGUAACGUAGCGAAAGUUACGCUAAUACCGCAUACGAUCUAAGGAUGAAAGUGGGGGAUUCGCAAGAACCUCAUGCUCCUGGAGCGGCCGAUAUCUGAUUAGCUAGNGGUAGGGUAAAGACCUACCAAGGCAUCGAUCAGUAGCUGGUCUGAGAGGACG
rnacentral:rRNA from 1 species